rnacentral:rRNA from 1 species
GCCUACCAUGGUUUUAACGGGUAACGGGGAAUUAGGGUUCGAUUCCGGAGAGGGAGCCUGAGAAACGGCUACCACAUCCAAGGAAGGCAGCAGGCGCGCAAAUUACCCAAUCCCGAUACGGGGAGGUAGUGACAAUAAAUAACAAUACAGGGCUCUUAUGGGUCUUGUAAUUGGAAUGAGUACAAUUUAAAUCUCUUAACGAGGAACAAUUGGAGGGCAAGUCUGGUGCCAGCAGCCGCGGUAAUUCCAGCUCCAAUAGCGUAUAUUAAAGUUGUUGCAGUUAAAAAGCUCGUAGUUGAAUUUCGAAAUUUUUUUAUCGGUUGAAUCAACAGGUUCGUACUGAUUUUAAGAAUUUCUACCUUCUGGAGAACCUUAAUGUCAUUAAUUUGGUGUUUUGGGAAACCAGGACUGUUACCUUGAAAAAAUUGGAGUGUUUAAAGCAGGCUUAUGUCUGAAUAUAUUAGCAUGGAAUAAUGAAAUAGGACGGCAUGGUUCUAUUUUGUUGGUUUCUAGGAUCACCGUAAUGAUUAAUAGGGAUAGUUGGGGGCAUUAGUAUUCAAUUGUCAGAGGUGAAAUUCUUGGAUUUAUUGAAGACUAACUUCUGCGAAAGCAUUUGCCAAGGAUGUUUUCAUUAAUCAAGAACGAAAGUUAGGGGAUCGAAGACGAUCAGAUACCGUCGUAGUCUUAACCAUAAACUAUGCCGACUAGGAAUCGGACGAAGUUAAUUUUUUAAUGACUCGUUCGGCACCUUACG